rnacentral:rRNA from 1 species
UUGUCCUACGGGACGCAGCAGUGAGGAAUAUUGGUCAAUGGGCGGGAGCCUGAACCUGCCAAGUCACGUGAGGGAAGACGGUCCUAUGAAUUGUAAACCUCUUUAGGCGGGGAGCAAUGCCGGGCACGUGUGCCCGGAGGGAGAGUACCCGCAGAAUAAGCAUCGGCUAACUCCGUGCCAGCAGCCGCGGUAAUACGGAGGAUGCGAGCGUUAUCCGGAUUUAUUGGGUUUAAAGGGUGCGUAGGCGGAUUUUUAAGUCAGCGGUAAAAUGUCCGGGCUCAACCCUGGCCUGCCGUUGAAACUGG